rnacentral:lncRNA from 1 species
CACCAGUGGAGUGUCUGCACAUUCCUCUCUGGCAGAUUUUAUGGGGAAUUUAGGCCAAUUCUUUCCCAUUAGAGGAUCUCCGAGUAGGAGGUUUGUCAGGUGCUGCUCCCAGGCCGCCCUUCUGAGGGCAGGCAGCCGGAGGUGUCUGGAAAAUGGAGAUCGUAAUACUUGGUUUAUUGCACCUGCUCCAGCUAUUGCUGAAAUUCCAGCUGCAGAGGAGUUACAGAGGGAACUGGAAAAAAGCUCAGCUCACACUCAUAUGGGGGGGAGCAAGCAUGAGAAGUUUAUACAGCAAUGUAAGAGUAACACAGAGAAAGUGGAAGAUAAAUCAUCAGCACCUAUUCAUUUUGGCAUAGCCCCUGAAAAGGAAGCCCUACAAUUAAGUCUAGGAGAAAGAGAUAAAAUUAGUUUUCAGCAUGAAAAUCUGAAAGUGGUUUCAUCUUUUCUUUCCUUUGAUGAAAAUAAAUCUAAAAGAAUAAUAGAUUUUUCUCAGCAACCACAAAAUAAAGCAUUAAGUGAAAACAGUGAUGAUGAGAGUGUCCAUUCAACAUU